AAUGUAUUAUUGUUAUGUGACUGCUUUAUAUAAAAGUACCAUGUAUGUAAAACGUGUAUGUUAAAUUUAUGUAUAUGUAGCAGAAAAGCUGUAUAAAAAACUAAAAGAUAUUUGUCCUCCGAAGAGGGUGGGGGUGGAUAGGGUAAACUUAUUUUAUUCUAUUCUUUUCAAACAUCUGCUUUUCUGUUCUUGAUCUGGGAUCAUCUACCAUUUGACUCCAUCGUUACCUCUUCAGUUGAUUAUCAAUGAGUUGACAUAAAAGGUCCCAUAUUUUAACUGAACCCAAGCUCUUAUAGCACCCUUUUAAAAAGACAGAACAGGAAAUUGUCAGUUCACUAAAUAAAUCUGACUGCUUCCUGUCAUAUCACAGUAUUACAGCUCAUGUCUAUUUGAAAACUAGUGUUGAUACAAAUCUGUGCCUUCUUGACAAACACCCAAUGAGCAACAUAUGUGUGGUGUCACAUUAUAAUAUGCAUGAGAGAGAUAUGACAUCUGUUGUUUUCAUGUAUGUGGUAAAGGAGUUUAGCUCCUCUUGCCAGGAUUACCGUGGAAACAAACUGUGGUUUAGGUGGUAAAUAGACAAGUCUUGUUUCUCUUUGCUAUUUAUUUCUUUACAGUCUGCUGACCAUGAACAGGACAUUACAUACAGCGCAGUGACACACACCAGAAACAGCACAGCAGGAUCCAUUUCCUGAAGCUGAUGAUGAUGUCAAGUACAGCACUGUCAUCCCCCAGCACAAGGCCCAACUAAAAGGACAGACCAAGUCAGCAGAACCAGAUGAUAAUGUGGUCUACAGCUCACUAGCUCUACAGGUGACCACACAGAUCAGUGUUGGUGUCUCCUCUGUCUGUUGUACCAAAUGAUGCUGAUCUCUCAACAAAGAUACAGACAACAUCACAUUACUAUGGGUAGUAAACAGCACUCUUUAAUCACACAAAUCUAUCUUAGUCUUUUUAGUUUUCUGCACUUAAACCUGUAUCACCACUUUUUGAGAAAUGGACCUUAUCAUUACCAUUGUCUAUCUAUAAGAUUACAGUGGUUUGACAGUGACUGAAUGUUUCACUUCCUCUCCAGCAGAGGGAAGCACAGCAGAGACUGACUGGAAUACCUUGGUGGAGUCCUUUUCCUGGAAGGACAGAACACUCCCCUCUCCUGUGUCACAACAUCUAUCUGCCUCCAAUAUGCUUCUGUCAUACCUCUUAACCCACCCCAGAAA